GAUGAAGAACGCAGUGAAAUGCGAUAAGUAAUGUGAAUUGCAGAAUUCAGUGAAUCAUCGAAUCUUUGAACGCACAUUGCGCCCGCCAGUAUUCUGGCGGGCAUGCCUGUUCGAGCGUCAUUUCAACCAUCAAGCCCCAGGCUUGUGUUGGGGACCUGCGGCUGCCGCAGGCCCUGAAAACCAGCGGCGGGCUCGCUGUCACACCGGGCGUAGUAGAUUUUAUCUCGCUCAGGGCGUGCUGCGGGUUCCGGCCGUUAAAAAGCCUUUUUUACCCAAGGUUGACCUCGGAUCAGGUAGGAAGACCCGCUGAACUUAAGCAUAUCAAUAAGCGGAGGA
rnacentral:misc_RNA from 1 species